rnacentral:rRNA from 1 species
UCCGUAGGUGAACCUGCGGAGGGAUCAUUACAAGUGACCCCGGCUACGGCCGGGAUGUUCAUAACCCUUUGUUGUCCGACUCUGUUGCCUCCGGGGCGACCCUGCCUUCGGGCGGAGGGCUCCGGGUGGACACUUCAAACUCUUGCGUAACUUUGCAGUCUGAGUAAACUUAAUUAAUAAAUUAAAACUUUUAACAACGGAUCUCUUGGUUCUGGCAUCGAUGAAGAACGCAGCGAAAUGCGAUAAGUAAUGUGAAUUGCAGAAUUCAGUGAAUCAUCGAAUCUUUGAACGCACAUUGCGCCCCCUGGUAUUCCGGGGGGCAUGCCUGUUCGAGCGUCAUUUCACCACUCAAGCCUCGCUUGGUAUUGGGCAACGCGGUCCGCCGCGUGCCUCAAAUCGUCCGGCUGGGUCUUCUGUCCCCUAAGCGUUGUGGAAACUAUUCGCUAAAGGGUGUUCGGGAGGCUACGCCGUAAAACAACCCCAUUUCUAAGGUUGACCUCGGAUCCAGGUAGGGAUACCCGCUGAACUUAAGCAUAUCAAUAAGCGGAGGAAA